CAGUAGCCGCGGUAAAACGAGGGGUGCAAGCGUUAUUCGGAUUGAUUGGGUGUAAAGGGUGUGCAGACGGCUCAUUAAGUCACUUGUUAAAUUCUUCGGCCUAACUGAAGGUCUGCAAGUGAUACUGAUGAGCUAGAGGGUGGAAGAGAGAAGUGGAAUUCUCGGAGUAGCGGUAAAAUGCGUAGAUCUCGAGAGGAACACCAAUGGCGAAGGCAGCUUCUUGGUCCAUUCCUGACGUUCAUACACGAAAGCGUGGGGAGCAAACAGGAUUAGAUACCCGCGUAGUCCCUGUCUCUUAUAC
rnacentral:rRNA from 1 species